rnacentral:rRNA from 1 species
UACGAGGGGGCGAGCGUUGUUCGGAAUUAUUGGGCGUAAAGGGUGCGUAGGCGGUUCGGUAAGUCUCAUGUGAAAUCUACAGGCUCAACUUGUAGUCUGCAUGAGAAACUGCCGGGCUUGAGUAUGGGAGAGGUGAGUGGAAUUCCUGGUGUAGCGGCGAAAAUGCGUAGAUAUCAGGAGGAACACCUGUGGCGAAAGCGGCUCACUGGACCAUACUACGUGAUGCACGAAAGCUAGGGG